AAUAAUAAUAAUAACAAUAAUAAUAAUAAUAGUAAUGACAAAAAAUAAUUAUCAUUAUUGUUUUUAUUAUUAUUAUUAUUGUUAUUAUAUUAACUAGAAAAAUAAAAAAAAAUAAGAUACCACUCACAUGUAUAACGUACGAUACUACAGCCUGUACCCAUGUACUAUAUGUAACUUUCCUCUGCAUACGCUGACUCUGUUGUUGGGAAUUGAACACAGUGAGAUGAUGAUAAGUGGUCUUGGUUGCCUUGAGUGUAGUGUACAAUGGAGCUGAAGCAGACUAGACGCUGACGUGGAAGAUAUGAAGCAGCCACCUUGGACAUGGUGUCUUCGUCUGGCUCCUCCUGAGGGUCAGCCCAGUCCACAAUGAUUUCACACCCCCACACCUUGAAGCGUCCUGAACUUAACCGCCGCUUAGCCAAGGAGGCAGCCUGGAGUACCAAAACACCUUUGCUCAGAAACACAUACUAGAGAAUAAUUGAUUCCUAUAUUACCUUACAAACUGCAAGGUUUAACUUACUGUCAAGAACAUGAAAACUUAUAAUUACAUAGACCAGGUGACGUGGUGCAUACAUGCAUUCAAGUGGUUCUCACCAGCUGUUGGUCUUUCAUACCGACAAUUACUGAACAACUUGUAGAUUUAUGACAUUCAACCACACAAGUACAUUUAUUAACACUCAGGCACAUGACCAGUUCAGCAUCACCAGUGAAAAUACUGAACUUGAUAUCAUGACCAUUUCUAACUCAAUCCAUAAUUACAAGCCUAGUAUUUGGGCCAAGUUUCACAUCCAAAUUAAUUUAAUAUGUCACAAGUUUAAACUUUACUAGUCAUACUUGAGGCACAUUUCCAAUAAAUAUUGUUCUUA